UACGUAGGGGGCAAGCGUUGUCCGGAUUUAUUGGGCGUAAAGAGCGUGUAGGCGGCUGGGUAGGUCCGUUGUGAAAACUCGAGGCUCAACCUCGAGACGCCGAUGGAAACCCUCCAGCUAGAGUCCGGAAGAGGAGAGUGGAGUUCCUGGUGUAGCGGUGAAAUGCGCAGAUAUCAGGAAGAACACCCGUGGCUAAGGCGGCUCUCUAGUACGGUACUGACGCUGAGACGCGAAAGCGUGGGGAGCGAACAGG
rnacentral:rRNA from 1 species